GGAAAGGCUUAUGCUGGAUACUUAGGCACCUAGAGAAGAGGAAGGGCGUAAUAAACGAUGAAAUGCUUUGGGAGUUGAAAAUGAGCAUAGAUUCAAAGAUUUUUGAAUAAGUCAACCUUGCAAACUGCUGCUGAAUCCAUGGGCAAGCAAGAGACAACCUGGCGAAGUAAAACAUCUUAGUAGCCAAAAGAAAAGAAAGCAAAAGCGAUUCUCGUGGUAGUGGCGAGCAAAAUAGGAGCAGCCUAAACCGUGAAAAUGCGGUUGUGGGAGAGCAACACAAGCGUCUUUUUACUAGGCAAAGUAGUGGAGUGCUACACCCUAGAUGGAGAGAGUCUAGUAGCCGAAAGUAUCACUAGCUUACGCCCUAACCCUAGUAGCAUGGGACAUGUGGAAUCUCGUGUGAAUUAGCAAGGACCACCUUGCAAGGCUAAAUACUCCUAAGUGACCGAUAGUGAAGUAGUACCAUGAGGGAAGCUUGAAAAGAACCCCCAUUGGGGAGUGAAAUAGAUCAUGAAACCAUAAGCUCCUAAGCAGUGGGGGGAGACCAAGGCUUUGACCACAUGCAAGUUGAAGAAUGAGCCGGCGACUUAUAGGGCAAUUGUCACUUCUUAUGGACUCAAACCUGGGUGAUCUAUCCAUAUCCAGGAUGAAGCUUGGGCGAAACUAAAUGGAGGUCCAAACCGACUGAUGUUGAAGAAUCACGUGAUGAGUUGUGGUUAGGGGUGCAAUGCCACUCAAACCCAAAGCUAGUUGGUUCUCCUUGAAAUGCAUUGAGGUGCAGUAGUUGACUGGACAUCUAGGGGUAAAGCACUGUUUCAGUGUAGGCUGCAAGAGCAGUACCAAAUUGAGGCAAACUCUGAAUACUAGAUAUGACCUCAAAAUAACAGGGGUCAAGGUCAGCCAGUGAGAUAAUAGCGGGUAAGCUUCAUCGUUGAGAGGGAAACAGCCUGGAUCACCAGCCAAAGCCCCUAAAUGACUGCUCAGAGACAGCUAGGAGGUUUGCCAAGAAGCAGCCACCCUUAAAAGAGUGUGUAACAGCUCAUUGAUCGAGCGCUCUUGCACCAAAGAUGAAGAGGGCUAAGCGAUCUACCGAAGUUGUGGGAUGUAAAAAUGCAUUGGUAGGGAAGCAUUCCACCUAAAGGGAAGCACCCACGUUAUCAGUGGUAGACGAAGCGGAAGCGAGAAUGUCGGCUUAACUAAUGCAAACAUUGGUGAGAAUCUAAUGCCCUAAAAACCUAAGGGUUCCUUCGCAAUGUUCAUCCACUGAGGGUGAGUUAGGGCCUAAGAUCAGGUUGAAAGGUAUAGUCGAUGGACAACAGGUGAAUAUUCCUAUACUACCCAUUGUUGGUCCCGAGGGAUGGAGGAGGCUAGGUUAGCAGAACAAUGGUUAUCGAUUCAAGAACGCAUGGUGCCCCUACUUUUUCAGGGUAAGAAGAGGUGAAGAAAAUGCCUCAAGCCAAUGUUUGAGUACCAGGUGUGACGGUACUGAAGUAACCCAUGCCAUACUCCCAGGAAAAGCUCGAACAACUUUCAAUAAAAGGGUACCUAUACCAGAAACCGACAGAUGGGUAGGUACUAAGGAACUCAAUAAAAUAGCCCCGUAACUUCGGGAGAAGGGGUGCCUCCUCACAAAGAGGGUCACAGUGUCCAGGCCGGGGCGACUAGUUACCAAAAACAUAGGUCUCCACAAAGUCAUAAGACCAUGUAUGGGGGCUGAUGCCUGCCCAGUGUCGGAUGGUCAAGGAAGUUAGUGACCUGAUGAUAGGGGAGUCAGUGACUGAAGCCCCGGUGCAUGGCAGUUGUAACUAUAACAGUGCUAAGGUAGCAAAAUUCCUUGUAGGGUAAGUUUCAACUUGCAUAAAAUGCAUAAGGAUCUGGGCACUGUCUCGGAGAGAGGCUUGGUGAAAUAGACAUGUCUAUGAAGAUGCGGACUACCUGCACCUGGACAGAAAGACAUUAUGAAGUUUCACUAUUCCCUAGGAUUGUCUUUGGAACUUUCCUGCAUAGCUUAGGUGGAGGACGAAGAAGGCCUCCUUCUGGGGGGGCCCGAGCCAUCAGUGAGAUACCACUCUGAAAGAGCUAGAAUUCUAACCUUGUGUCAAGACCUACAGGCCAGAAAAUGUGUCAGGUAGACAGUUUCUAUGAGGUGUAAGGCUCCCAAAAGGCAACGGAGGCGUGCAAAGGUUUCCUCGAUCCAGAUGGAGAUUGACCUUCGAGUGCAAAGUAGAAGGGAGCUUGACUGCAAGACUCAUCCAUCGAGUAGGGUCAAAAGUCGGCCAUAGUGAUAUGACAUUUCCGAGUGGAAGGGUUGUCGCUCAAUGGAUACAAGUUACUCUAUGGAUAACAGGCUGAUCUUCCCCAAGAGCUCACAUCAAUAGCAAUGUUUAGCACCUCGGUGUCAGCUCUUCGCCACCUAGGGCUAUGGUGAUUUCUAUGGGUUGGGCUGUUUGCCCAUUAAAGCGGUACGUGAGCUGGGUUCAGAACAUCCUGAGACAGUUCGGUCCAUAUCCGGUGUGGGCAUUAGAGGAUUGAGAGGACCUUUCCGUAAAAGACUGAGAAGGAUGCACCUCUGGUGUACUGGUUAUCAUGCCCAUGGUAAGCACUGGCUAGCCAAGUGCAGAGCAGAUAACUGCUGAAAGCAUCUAAGUAGGAAGCCCACCCCAAGAUGAGUGCUCUCUUAUUCCGACUUCCCCAGAGCUUCCAGUAGCACAACCAAGACAGCGACGGGUUUUCUACCCCUACAGGGGUGGAGCAACAGAAGGUUUGAGAAUUCAAGAGAUGGUCAUGGUGAGAUGAGCUGUUUAUCAUUAUGAUAGGUGUUAAGUGGAAGUGAAGUGAUGAAUGCAACUGAGGCAUCCUAACAGACCGGUAUACUGAAAC
rnacentral:rRNA from 1 species